GAUGAAGAACGUAGCGAAAUGCGAUAAGUAGUGUGAAUUGCAGAAUUCAGUGAAUCAUCGAGUCUUUGAACGCACAUUGCGCCCUCUGGUAUUCCGGAGGGCAUGCCUGUCCGAGCGUCAUUGCUGCCCUCAAGCACGGCUUGUGUGUUGGGCCCCGCCCCCCGAUCCCGGGGGGCGGGCCCGAAAGGCAGCGGCGGCACCGCGUCCGAUCCUCGAGCGUAUGGGGCUUUGUCACCCGCUCUGUAGGCCCGGCCGGCGCCUGCCGAUCAACCAAACUUUUUUCCAGGUUGACCUCGGAUCAGGUAGGGAUACCCGCUGAACUUAAGCAUAUCAAUAAGCGGAGGA
rnacentral:misc_RNA from 1 species